rnacentral:rRNA from 1 species
GUGGAUUAGAUACCCUGGUAGUCCACGCCCUAAACGAUGUCAACUAGGUGUUGGGAGCGCAAGUUCUCAGUACCGCAGCUAACGCGUGAAGUUGACCGCCUGGGGAGUACGGUCGCAAGAUUAAAACUCAAAGGAAUUGACGGGGACCCGCACAAGCGGUGGAUGAUGUGGAUUAAUUCGAUGCAACGCGAACAACCUUACCUACCCUUGACAUGUCCGGAACCCUGCUGAAAGGCGGGGGUGCCAGAAAGGGAAUCGGAACACAGGUGCUGCACG